CUGAAACCGUGUACGUACAAGCAGUGGGAGCACAGAGCAAUCUGUGUGACUGCGUACCUUUUGUAUAAUGGGUCAGCGACUUAUAUUCUGUAGCAAGGUUAACCGAAUAGGGGAGCCGAAGGGAAACCGAGUCUUAACUGGGCGUUAAGUUGCAGGGUAUAGACCCGAAACCCGGUGAUCUAGCCAUGGGCAGGUUGAAGGUUGGGUAACACUAACUGGAGGACCGAACCGACUAAUGUUGAAAAAUUAGCGGAUGACUUGUGGCUGGGGGUGAAAGGCCAAUCAAACCGGGAGAUAGCUGGUUCUCCCCGAAAGCUAUUUAGGUAGCGCCUCGUGAAUUCAUCUCCGGGGGUAGAGCACUGUUUCGGCAAGGGGGUCAUCCCGACUUACCAACCCGAUGCAAACUGCGAAUACCGGAGAAUGUUAUCACGGGAGACACACGGCGGGUGCUAACGUCCGUCGUGAAGAGGGAAACAACCCAGACCGCCAGCUAAGGUCCCAAAGUCAUGGUUAAGUGGGAAACGAUGUGGGAAGGCCCAGACAGCCAGGAUGUUGGCUUAGAAGCAGCCAUCAUUUAAAGAAAGCGUAAUAGCUCACUGGUCGAGUCGGCCUGCGCGGAAGAUGUAACGGGGCUAAACCAUGCACCGAAGCUGCGGCAGCGACACUAUGUGUUGUUGGGUAGGGGAGCGUUCUGUAAGCCUGUGAAGGUGUGCUGUGAGGCAUGCUGGAGGUAUCAGAAGUGCGAAUGCUGACAUAAGUAACGAUAAAGCGGGUGAAAAGCCCGCUCGCCGGAAGACCAAGGGUUCCUGUCCAACGUUAAUCGGGGCAGGGUGAGUCGACCCCUAAGGCGAGGCCGAAAGGCGUAGUCGAUGGGAAACAGGUUAAUAUUCCUGUACUUGGUGUUACUGCGAAGGGGGGACGGAGAAGGCUAUGUUGGCCGGGCGACGGUUGUCCCGGUUUAAGCGUGUAGGCUGGUUUUCCAGGCAAAUCCGGAAAAUCAAGGCUGAGGCGUGAUGACGAGGCACUACGGUGCUGAAGCAACAAAUGCCCUGCUUCCAGGAAAAGCCUCUAAGCAUCAGGUAACAUCAAAUCGUACCCCAAACCGACACAGGUGGUCAGGUAGAGAAUACCAAGGCGCUUGAGAGAACUCGGGUGAAGGAACUAGGCAAAAUGGUGCCGUAACUUCGGGAGAAGGCACGCUGAUAUGUAGGUGAAGCGACUUGCUCGUGGAGCUGAAAUCAGUCGAAGAUACCAGCUGGCUGCAACUGUUUAUUAAAAACACAGCACUGUGCAAACACGAAAGUGGACGUAUACGGUGUGACGCCUGCCCGGUGC
rnacentral:rRNA from 1 species